UCCCAAAAUAUUGGGACAUAUGAAAAAAAGACAACUCUGUUCUGCAGAGUAGCUGUUGACAUUAUAGUUGCGCAGGAACUUUGUUGACUCUAGAGAACCUUGGGCAAAUCGCACAUUCCCGUGGCGGCGACUUUGCAUGCGGAUGUCAUCCAUAUCAAUUUUCGAUGCCAGUUUCUGUGUCUACCGUGGUGACCACAGGUAACUGGGAAUCAGGGUUCCAUUCCGUACAGGGACCAUGGGAAACUGCUACCACAUGCAAGGAAGGCAGCAGGCGUGCAAAUGACCCAUUCCCAACGCGGGAAGGUAGUGACGA